AUGAGAGGACAAUUGUAUCCAAGCAAAGUUAUAGAAUGGGAAAUUCAUUUCAUAAUCAUGUGCAUGUGGAUGACGUCCAACUUGCUAGUGGUCAUGUCAAUCUACUGCAGGAGAAGAAAAGAAGUUCUUGUUCUCAAAGUUCAAAAGAAUGUUCUCGGUAGAGUGUCUCUCGUUAUAAUUAUCGAGAUUCACCUAGAAAAGAAUAAAAGGGGUAUUAGUAAUGUCGCAUGGACAUGCUUAGAAAGGUAUCUAAAGUAUGCAUGCGAGAAACCUAAGCAUGUUCUUAUAGUCAAUGGUAAUGGAACCGGAAACUAUGGUGUUCCAAAAGUUGAUGAGAAAAGAUUGAAAACGGAUAUGGUGCCAUAUGCUUCAGCUGUUAAAGCUCAAUAUAUUACCAUGACAUAG
rnacentral:rRNA from 1 species